UCUCUGGUGGCUCAGACAGUAAAGCGUCUGCCUGCAAUGCAGGACACCCAGGUUCAAUCCCUGGGUUGGGAA
rnacentral:tRNA from 1 species